AUUGAACGCUGGCGGAAUGCUUUACACAUGCAAGUCGAACGGCAGCACGGGUGCGUGCACCUGGUGGCGAGCGGCGAACGGGUGAGUAAUACAUCGGAACGUACCCAGUCGUGGGGGAUAACGUAGAGAAAGUUACGCUAAUACCGCAUACGUCCUGAGGGAGAAAGCGGGGGACCGUAAGGCGUCGCGCGAUUGGAGCGGCCGAUGGCGGAUUAGCCAGUUGGUGGGGUAAAGGCCGACCAAGGCGACGAGCCGUAGCGGGUCUGAGAGGCCGGCCCGCCACACUGGAGCUGAGACACGGUCCAGACGCCUACGGGAGGCAGCAGUGGGGAAUUUUGGACAAUGGGCGAAAGCCUGAUCCAGCCAUUCCGCGUGAGUGAAGAAGGCCUUCGGGUUGUAAAGCUCUUUCGGCAGGGAAGAAACGGCUUGGGAUAAUACCCCGGGCUAAUGACGGUACCUGAAGAAGAAGCACCGGCUAACUACGUGCCAGCCGCCGCGGUAA
rnacentral:rRNA from 1 species